rnacentral:rRNA from 1 species
UACGUAGGGUGCGAGCGUUGUCCGGAAUUACUGGGCGUAAAGAGCUCGUAGGUGGUUUGUCGCGUCGUCUGUGAAAUUCCGGGGCUUAACUUCGGGCGUGCAGGCGAUACGGGCAUAACUUGAGUGCUGUAGGGGAGACUGGAAUUCCUGGUGUAGCGGUGGACUGCGCAGAUAUCAGGAGGAACACCGAUGGCGAAGGCAGGUCUCUGGGCAGUAACUGACGCUGAGGAGCGAAAGCCUGGGAAGCGAACAGGAUUUGAUACCCUGGUAGUCCAUGCCGUAAACGGUGGGCGCUAGGUGUAGGGGUCUUCCACGACUUCUGUGCCGUAGCUAACGCAUUAAGCGCCCCGCCUGGGGAGUACGGCCGCAAGGCUAAA